GAUGAACGCUGGCGGCGUGCCUAAUACAUGCAAGUCGAGCGAACGGACGAGAAGCUUGCUUUUCUGAUGUUAGCGGCGGACGGGUGAGUAACACGUGGAUAACCUACCUAUAAGACUGGGAUAACUUCGGGAAACCGGAGCUAAUACCGGAUAAUAUUUUGAACCGCAUGGUUCAAAAGUGAAAGACGGUCUUGCUGUCACUUAUAGAUGGAUCCGCGCUGCAUUAGCUAGUUGGUAAGGUAACGGCUUACCAAGGCAACGAUGCAUAGCCGACCUGAGAGGGUGAUUGGCCAGCCGGGAACUGAGACACGGCCCAGACUCUGACGGGAGGAAGCAGUAGGGAACCCUCCGCGAUGGGCGAGAGCCUGACGGAGCAACGCCGCGUGAGUGAUGAAGGUGCUCGGAUCGGAAAACGAUGUUAGUAGGGGAGAAGAUAUGUGUAAGUACCUGUGAACAUAUUGACGGUACCGGAUCAGAAAGCCACGGCUAACUACGUG
rnacentral:rRNA from 1 species